GCGAGGAGGCGGCGCAGGCGUAACGCGUCACGGGCGGCCUGGCAGCUGGCGGCAUUGAGGCAGACGCGGCUAGAGGUCCGUCUGACCGCGGCGUCGGGACUUGGUUUCCGGGCAUGAGCUGAGAGCACCACGCCGAGGCCACGAGUAUUUCAUAGACAUUGAUGGAAGCAGAAACCAAAACUCUUCCCCUGGAGAAUGCAUCCAUCCUUUCAGAGGGCUCUCUGCAGGAAGGACACCGAUUAUGGAUUGGCAACCUGGACCCCAAAAUUACCGAAUACCACCUCCUCAAGCUCCUCCAGAAGUUUGGCAAAGUAAAGCAGUUUGACUUCCUCUUCCACAAGUCAGGUGCUUUGGAGGGACAGCCUCGAGGCUACUGUUUUGUUAACUUUGAAACUAAGCAGGAAGCAGAGCAAGCCAUCCAGUGUCUCAAUGGCAAGCUGGCCCUGUCUAAGAAGUUGGUGGUGCGAUGGGCACAUGCUCAAGUAAAGAGAUACGAUCAUAACAAGAAUGAUAAGAUUCUUCCAAUCAGUCUUGAGCCAUCCUCAAGCACUGAGCCUACUCAGUCUAACCUAAGGGAAUUAAGUGACUUCUAUAGAUUCACUGGGAACAUAUAUCCACUGUGUUAUUUUCCUCAUGAGAUUUGAACCUCCUUGAUCACAGAUUGAUCUCCAUGAAGGUUUUCGUAAAUCUAACUCCUAUUGGAAAGAGAUGACUGCAUUUGUGCUGGAUGGUCUUCAUGUUACAAUGAACAUGUCUUUAGUUUCUUAUGAUUUGUAUAUGCCACUUGUUUACAAGAUAGCCUAGGGUUUUCCAUCUAUUUUUUUAUCCAGAGGACCGCAGCUUACAUCUCUCUAUUAACAUCUAUGCCUAAUGAGAGAAGGUUGCUUCCCUGUGACUCAUACAAAAUCAGUGACCGGCUGUGCCAUUAAUGGAAGAGGGGCCAGAAUGCAUCUCGUGUCACUGCAAAGAUAAAAGCCAUUGAAGCAAAACUGAAAAUGAUGGCGGAAAAUCCUGAUGCAGAGUAUCCAGCAGCACCUGUUUAUUCCUACUUUAAACCACCAGAUAAAAAAAGGACUACUCCGUAUUCUAGAACAGCGUGGAAAUCUCGAAGAUGAUGGUUGUGAAUUACUGUAGCAGCAAAAGCAAAUUGGUCUCCACACCUAAAAUCGUCUGCCUUUGUACUUUGUAGAUGUGAAUGGUACUAUUCAACGGAGCACAAUCACAUGUUAGCAUUUGGUAACAUAAUGUUUUUGGAUGUUCUUAUGGAUGUUUCUUCCCUGCACUAUGUAUGGAAUUGAGCAUCAUCCAGAAUAAAUAGGAUUGUAUCCCAAAUUGUGAUUGGAACCCUGGGAUGCUCUAAUUGGCUGGUUUGUUUGGAUUUGUAACUCCAGAAACAUUCUAUAGUGUGCCAGAGCAAAAGGCAAAUACACAAAAUGUUAUUACUUAAAUCAGGAAACUAAAUAUAUUAGCAUCUAUUAAAAAAUUGAGCAUUUUUCUACGCUUAUGUGUCUUUACAACACAAAGAAAAAGUAAAAGACAGGGAGGGAAGUGAGAGACAGAUUUUAAAUCAUGUUCAGAACUGUUGUUCCAGAAUUUACUAUGGCAAUCCCUCCAACUGGACUGAAAAAGAGAAAGUUCUUGGCAAAAAGGAGCUGAUUCUUUGAGCAAAUAUUGUGGUAAUCUGUUUAAGAAUUAUGCUUAUUGUUUCAAAAUCCCAGCUAGGAAAACAUGGUGUAUAUCUUAAAGUUGUUCGUGUUAAAACUAGAAUCAAAUUUAAUAUUUUAUACCACAACACAAGUUCUAUUUGGAAAUUGAACUUUUAUUCUAUAGCAAUCAUUUUUUUCAAAUCUAGAUAACCAUGCCUUCUAUAAUAACAAAUGUUGCUAUUUUCAUGGGACUUUUAAAAUUACAUUUAUUGCAUGGGAUUGUUUUUAUAGCAUGAGAAUGUUCUGUUUGGAAUUAUAUCAUGGUCAGUCUAAAUAGAAAAAGCAAAAUUUCUUUGAAAACCUAAACAUUGCUGGAUUGGUCACUAUCAAACAUACAAUUUUCUAAUAAUUGUGUAGCGAUCUAAGUGGAAGAGAUUGGAUUAACUUAUGCAGGAUGAGGAGAGGACAUGCAGUGGGUACAGAAAGUCAAUGGAACAGACGCCACUCUGGCACCAAGACUGUGAUGACUUUGUGUGGUAGGUAGUUUUAAAGGACUGCAUGCCUUGGAAAUGAUUCUUCACUUGGAGAACAUACUUGCCUCUAGAUAUUUCACUCUAAGCAUCCUAAAUAUAACAAUAGAGAAAGAUAAGUCAACCAACAGAUUUGGGGAUGUGUUUCUUCAGCACAUUUUGGUCAUUUUGGUGCCAAGUUUGACAUACUGUUUAAUUGGGCAGCACCUUUGCUCCUUUACCAGGUAUGUAUCACUUUGUUACUCCAGAUGCCAUCCUUGGUGAUUACAGACUAUUUAUCACUAUCAUUGUUAGCAAGAGGAAGCUUUCGUUAUAGGAACUUAACAUCUUCCCAUGAGUAUAAAUGAAUUUAAGACAUUUGAAUCAAAGCUUCAGUAGAGGGAGGUUUCAGAAUUCAUAAAACUGGUUCAAUGAAAUUAUUUUUACUUUUCCCAAGGUUAAUCUUUUUAAAUAUCUCUAGACAUCAAAUACUUUCUGUAUGUGUUAGCUGUGUCUGUCUAUGAUGCAAGUAACUCUCCUCCUAUUUGGGGGAUAGUUCAGAGAGGUAGGAGCAUUAUCUCCCAUUUUUCUGGUGACUUCUUGGAGUAUAGAAUUCACCAUUUUAUCCAUAAGUCUUCAAAGGGUAAUGGUGGAGUAGAACUUACAUAAUGCAAAAUAGUCUUCUAUUUUUAAUAGGAACUUAGAAAAAACUUAAUAUAUAGAGUUGUUUCCUUUAGAAACCAGAGCUAUUUAUUUGUAUUUAAAGCAUUGUUUAUUAUUUGUACUGAUUCUUAUCCCUCUGUGAAUAAAUGUAAGAUGGUGUCUGUGUGGUUAUAUCUUCUCUCAUUCACUUAAUGGCAUAUACUGCAGUUCUCUGACAGGCUUGUUUCCACUCAGGACUCUGGCCAGCAUGUCCAGGUCGGGUGCUGCUUGUAAGUGCCUUCUCUGCAGAGGGUUCUGGCUAGAGUCAAACUCAGAGGCAACUCUCUUUACCCUUUAUGCCUGCCUACCUCUGUUGUUAGAGAUGAGAAGAGAGACCAGCUGUUUCCAUUGCAAAUGUCAAUAUUUGAAAAGAAGUUGUUAAUGGAAAUUUCUGCAAGUAUCAUACUAUGUUUAGUCUCUCAUAGUAGAGAUUUCAAAAGAAUAAAUGUAUGUAUCAUAAAUAUGCUGAAAGCAGUCUGAUGAAAGGUUUUUAAAUUUCAGGUGUUAACUUGGUCAACUCUGUUAGGAGGUUAUCUGUACUUAAGGUAAAAUUUUUCUUUGGUUUACUGGUUAGUUAUUUUGGUUUGCUAAAAUUAUGUCACUUAUAAUUUGGGUUUAUAUACAAGAGUGAAGAAUUGAAGGAAAUAUUGAGGAGAGAGGUAUGAACUAUUUUCUUCUCAAUUCCUGUUUUAUCAAAUGCAAAAUGUAAUCCUAACCAGUUGAUUUUCUAUAAUUUAUAUCUCAGUACUGGGGAGGAGUAUCACAUGAGGAAAGAUUUUUCAAAGCAUGUCAGCUGAGGCACAAGAAUCGCUUGAACCCAGGAGGCAGAGGUUCCAGUGAGCCGAGAUUGUGCCAUUGCACUCCAACCUGGGCGACAGAGUGAAACACCAUCUCAAACAAAAACAAAGCAUGUCAAAAAUCAUUAGCACAAGUAGUAUGAAACCAAGUAUUCUGUAGCUCUGUCUCUUAUUUAUUAAGAUAUGCACAGUUUCCUGAAUCAACAAAUAUAUCUGUGAUUCUUUUAUACUACUAUAUAAAAGAAUAGGAGUAAUUCUUGCCUUAUAAAUUAAAUGUUAAAGAUUUCCUGUAUGUAAUCAUUUGUUCCUAAAAUAUGAUUUAGUCCCAGCAUGUUUAUCCUUGUUUUCUCUUUUUCUCUCCAGCUCUUAUCUAGUCUGUCAACAAAUCCUGUCAACUCUACCUUCCAAAUGCGUCUUGAAUCCAGCCAUCUCACCACCUCCAACACCACCACCAUUUUUGUUAAAGCCACUAUCACAUUUUUGUUAAAGCCACCAUCAUCUCUUCCCUGCAUUACUACAAUACCUUCCUAAUUAUCUGCCUGCCUUUGCUAUUGAUUCUUUAGGGUCCAUUUUCCAUACAGUAGCCAAAGCGAUUUUUAAACAGUUAUUUUAAGAAUGUGAUUCUCUUCUUGGUGGCUUUCCAUCACCAAAAUUCAAAGACCUGUAAGGCCCUAAUGACAUGUCCCUCACUACGUGUCUGACCGGAUAGCCUGCUGUUCUCCCCUUGCUCACUGUGCUCCAGCCACACUGGCCUUCUUGCUAUUCUUUGAAUACAAGGGAGCUUCUACUUGAAGGCAUUUACAUUGGCUGUUGCCUUAGCUUAGAAUGCUCUUUCUCCAGAUAGCCGCAGAGCCCACUCCCUCACCUGACUCGUCUCUGCUCAAAUGUUAAUGAUCAAGAGGCAGUCCCUGGCCUCGCUUUUAAAAUUACAACCCUGUCGCUCUUCAAUCCUUUCCUCACCAUUUUCUCAAAAGCACUUACCCCUAACCAACAUUAUAUCUAAAUUUUUUUGUGUCUUUUUAUUGGAAUGUAAGUUUCAUGUAAGCAGGAACUCUAUAUCACUGCUAUACCCUCAGCAUUUAAAACAAUGGCUGUACAUCAUACAUGCUCAAUAAAUAUUUGUUGAAUGAA